AUUGAACGCUGGCGGCAUGCCUUACACAUGCAAGUCGAACGGUAACGGGCCUUCGGGUGCCGACGAGUGGCGAACGGGUGAGUAAUACAUCGGAACGUGCCCGAUCGUGGGGGAUAACGAGGCGAAAGCUUUGCUAAUACCGCAUACGAUCUACGGAUGAAAGCAGGGGACCGCAAGGCCUUGCGCGGACGGAGCGGCCGCUGGCAGAUUAGGUAGUUGGUGGGAUAAAAGCUUACCAAGCCGACGAUCUGUAGCUGGUCUGAGAGGAUGAUCAGCCACACUGGGACUGAGACACGGCCCAGACUCCUACGGGAGGCAGCAGUGGGGAAUUUUGGACAAAGGGCGCAAGCCUGAUCCAGCCAUGCCGCGUGCAGGAUGAAGGCCUUCGGGUUGUAAACUGCUUUUGUACGGAACGAAAAGCCUUCUUUUAAUACAGGAGGGUCAUGACGGUACCGUAAGAAUAAGCACCGGCUAACUACGUG
rnacentral:rRNA from 1 species